AAAUUGAAGAGUUUGAUCAUGGCUCAGAUUGAACGCUGGCGGCAGGCCUAACACAUGCAAGUCGAACGGUAACAGGAAGCAGCUUGCUGUUUCGCUGACGAGUGGCGGACGGGUGAGUAAUGUCUGGGAAACUGCCUGAUGGAGGGGGAUAACUACUGGAAACGGUAGCUAAUACCGCAUAACGUCGCAAGACCAAAGAGGGGGACCUUCGGGCCUCUUGCCAUCGGAUGUGCCCAGAUGGGAUUAGCUAGUAGGUGGGGUAACGGCUCACCUAGGCGACGAUCCCUAGCUGGUCUGAGAGGAUGACCAGCCACACUGGAACUGAGACACGGUCCAGACUCCUACGGGAGGCAGCAGUGGGGAAUAUUGCACAAUGGGCGCAAGCCUGAUGCAGCCAUGCCGCGUGUAUGAAGAAGGCCUUCGGGUUGUAAAGUACUUUCAGCGGGGAGGAAGGGAGUAAAGUUAAUACC
rnacentral:rRNA from 1 species